rnacentral:rRNA from 1 species
AACGAACGCUGGCGGCGCGCCUAAUACAUGCAAGUCGAGCGAGAAGACGUAGCAAUACGUUUGUAAAGCGGCGAACGGGUGAGGAAUACAUGGGUAACCUACCCUCGAGUGGGGAAUAACUAGCCGAAAGGUUAGCUAAUACCGCGUACGCUCCUUGGACUUCGGUUCAGGGAGGAAAGCGAUACCGUGGGUAUCGCGCUCUUGGAUGGGCUCAUGUCCUAUCAGCUUGUUGGUGAGGAACGGCUCACCAAGGCUUCGACGGGUAGCUGGUCUGAGAGGACGAUCAGCCACACUGGCACUGCGACACGGGCCAGACUCCUACGGGAGGCAGCAGUAAGGAAUAUUGCGCAAUGGGCGAAAGCCUGACGCAGCGACGCCGCGUGGGGGAUGAAGGUCUUCGGAUUGUAAACCUCUUUCAGCUCCGACGAAGCGAGAGUGACGGUAGGAG